AAGCUGUGAUCGAAUUGAAUAUAUCCUGUAAAAUAAUACAAUGAAGGAAACAAUAUUAUUCUACCAUGUUUCUUUCUCUCUUUACUCUGAUGAUGUGAUUAAAAGAAGAUAUAAACCUUAGUAUAUGUAAACUUUUAAAUAAUCUUUGAUGUAUAAAUGCUUAAUUUCAUAUGAGAGAUUUGCAUUGUCCAAAUUUUCGUAUUUAUAAGUUAUAACUUUACGUGUCCGAUCCAACAAUUUAGCUCAGAACUGGACGGAUGGUUAAUUACACCAUCCUAUAUAUUAUUUUCUUGAAAACUAAAUUACACCAUCCUAUCUAUCUACUAUUACUUAAGGCAAAACCUCAAGUUACUAUUCCUAAGAAACCUCAAAUCUUGGCCAUUCAAUUCACUUUCUAAUCUAACGGUUGGUUUUCACUCCUCACCUAUGACACAUGACAUUGUGGGCCUUUGUUUUGUUUUUUUUGUCCAAGGUUACUAUUUCAAGUACAAAUAGUUUCUUCUUCUUGCAGUUUUUUGGCCCAAAGACGGUUCAUGAUAUCAUCAUCUCAGGGCCAGGUCUUCUCACGGUCAGAGCAAGGAAAAGGAGGGACGAAGCUGGUGGAAGGAGAAGGAAGAAGCUUUCGUGUAUCUCAAAACACUGUUCAUGCAGUGAUUUGAAGAUGGAGCAGGAAGCAUGGCUCCAAUGACGCAAGAUACAGUGCAUUUUUGUACCUUAAGCUUCUCUUUCCCGAUUUCAUCAUCCAUUGCGGAUUCGUGGCUCCAAUGGUGUACCAACAGAUGAGUUUCCUUUAUCCAAUUCUUCAAUCAAUUGAUGUCCUACUAGUUAUAGAGUAUUUUGUAAUGGGCUUCUUUCAUUCCCACUUCUAUAAAUGCUCCUUUGGUUUUGAAGAGUGUGUGUGUUCAUGCAGUGUUCUGGGCCAACCCAUGGUUAAUCUCUUCCCUUCUUACGAUUCUCAUGUCUGAUGUGAUGAACCUUUGAUGUCAUGACUCAGGACCUCCUUCACUCUCUUCUCUUUCUUGGUAUUUUGGGUGUUUUUUCAAUUUUACAGUAUGGUUUUUAUGUAUGCGAGUUUGGAUUGUUGUAAUGGUGUUCUUGGUGUUGUGGUGUUGUUAACCUCUUUAAGUGAUGGGUCUGAGUUCUUAUUCUAAAAAUUGAAACCUUGUGAGGAACUUUUUAUUCUUAGAUGGUUGGAUUUGAGGAUCAGUGAUGUUACUUGAGAACCUGCGUUAUCUAUCUGUAACUUCCUGCAGGAAUUGAAGAUCACUUACUGUUACCCCUUUGCCAUCUUACUUCUUAUCUUGCUUUAUAUUAGUUUUAAUCAGCAUUGUCAUGCCUUGAAGUGAUUGUAUGGCAUGGGAUAUCUAGCAUUGCAGACUAAGACUCAUGAGCUUUACAUUCCUAUAUAGGAUCUGUUUUGCAAUUAUUUUAAUUUCAUAGAAGAGACCAAACUCAUAAUACUGAAAAUUUUCCCAUAUGGGGCUUGAUUCUGUUGUCUGCGGUCCAUAAUGUUCACCACUGUUUGUUUUCUUUUUGGGUUAAUUAAUUUGGAAGGUUUGUGCAUAUGAUAUUUGUUUGGUCUAUUUGUGAUUUAAAGUAGUGGGCUGAAGGUGUAAUUAUUUUGCUAGGCUUAAUUGCACUUUUGCUCCCUCAUCUUUCACCGUUGUGCGAAGUCCCUCCCCUAUGUUUGAAAGAAGCAGAUUCCCUCCCUCAUGUAUUAAAAUGUGAAGAUUCGCCCCUUCUGUUAGUUAGCCAUCUAAAAGCUAACGGAGGUUGCUAUUUUCACCUCCUUUUUUACUAUCUCCACCACUUACAUGAUUUUUGGAAAAAAAAAUUAUUGGAUGGAAAAAAAAUUAUUGGAUGGAAAAAAUUAUGUGCAAGAGAGAUGAAGGUUUUUUUUUUCUUUUAUAAAAAUAUAUAUUUUUUCUGUUUUUUACUUAUUUCAUUUAUUUUUUUCUUUAUUUUAUAUUUCUGAUUGAGGGGUGUGAUUAGUAAAAGGAGGAGGUGAAAAUAGCAAUCCCGUUAAUAAUUGGAUGGAAAGUUAACGGUAGCACAAAUUAAAACAUGAGGGAGGAAAUCUGCUCCUUUUAAACAUGAGGGAGGGACUUCGCACAACGGUGAAAGAUAAAGGAGUAAAAGUGCAAUUAAGCCAUUUUGCUAUUAAUAGCGUUAUUUGUUUCUUAAAAAGGGAUACUUUUAAAGCCAAUGUAAUUAUUGCUCCAAACGCACAGGGAAGUUAUGAUAUACUGAUACCAAGAAAACCAGCUUAAUUUGAUCAGACCUUUCUUAGAUUUUUUAAGGUUGAUUUUCAGACAGGUGUCUGAAUGGAUCUCCUGGUGUUUUCUCUAAUACUAUAAAUUCAAUUGUCAAUUUUUGUAGAACUUUAUGAUGUUAUUCUGGUUUGUGUUUGCAUUCCCAUAGGCAAAUAUAAGAUGCAUUUUACUCUGAUUACCUGGUGAAGCUUGAUUUUGCCUUUAUUGAUGAAUAUGGUUACAUGUGUCCAAUUGGGGAAUCAUCCAACCCAUUUGCACUUCAAUUAAAUCUUAUUGAUGCUGAGGUAGCAUAGUGAUAGCAUUUGUAACAUAUCUGAUUGUUUCCAAAUUAUGAUUACCGUUAUUUCUAACCCGUUUUUUUAUUGUUUGCAAGGGCAGAAGAUUGAGACAAGUAUUUGAAAAACAAUGAUCAUCUAAUUCUGGGGUGAAGUUGCUGAGGAUUAUUUUCAAUGUGAGGACAAGGGUGGUUACGUGAUGAAUCUGAGUUAAUUCCAAUGAAUGAAUUGUCUCUUAAAAACUCAGCUGAGUUUGAAUUGACAAUGGGAGCAUGCGACUUUCUGAUCGAAUGAGUAAGUGAAUAUAUAUGGAUGGGACGGGAAGCACGGUAAUGGGUUCAUAGGUGCUUUGUUUAAGGUCUCGGUGCUGCCAUGGAGACCUCCAAUGCCGGAAGGGCACUUCUUCUAGCACAUGAUCUUCAAGGGAACUAUGAAGCCAUUAGAGAGGGAGCUCGAGGAGGAUAUCAAGAACAUGAGGGGUCGCUGCUGGUAAUUUACGAUUUGUAGUUCAUAAAGCUCUACUAAGGAUUGAAGCCUGGUACCCAUGUAUUUCCCAGCUUUGGUAAAUUCACGUUUUUCUUCACAGUGAAUCAGUGAUAUUGUUUGUUUUUUUUACUGCAAUUAUGCUAUCUUGGAAUGGAGUAUUACAUGAUGUUGAAUUUCUUCCAUCUAUGCUUAUGUAAGCAGCUUA